GUGGAAUCUUGGAGUGAAAUAAGAACAGCAUGUCUAGAUACAAGGUCUGUGAAUGCAGCCGUGAUAGCGGAACACCACACCAGACUGUUCUCCACCAGGCCCCUCAGGAAUAAUGAAGUCAUCAAUUUCACUGUUUGCAUGGGGCCUUUGAGCUUGUAAUGCAGCCCAGCUAUGCCAGGCUGCUAAUGACCAGCUGCUGACCUCAGAAUCUAAACCAUAAUCAUCAUCAUUAACCAACUGCUCCAAAGUCUGAAGUAGUCCAGUGAAGACAAUGAACAGUGAAGAGCUGCCAGUCCUGGGUCAUGGCCAGUAGCCAGAUGAGCUCAAUGAAAAGAAGGACAAGACAGCUGCA